rnacentral:rRNA from 1 species
GACGAACGCUGGCGGCGUGCUUAACACAUGCAAGUCGAACGGAAAGGCCCCUUUGGGGGUACUCGAGUGGCGAACGGGUGAGUAACACGUGAGUAACCUGCCCUUGACUUCGGGAUAACUUCAGGAAACUGGGGCUAAUACCGGAUAGGAAUCCUUGCUGCAUGGUGGGGGUUGGAAAGCUUCGGCGGUUUCGGAUGGACUCGCGGCUUAUCAGCUUGUUGGUGGGGUAGUGGCUUACCAAGGCUUUGACGGGUAGCCGGCCUGAGAGGGCGACCGGCCACAUUGGGACUGAGAUACGGCCCAGACUCCUACGGGAGGCAGCAGUGGGGAAUAUUGCACAAUGGGCGGAAGCCUGAUGCAGCAACGCCGCGUGCGGGAUGACGGCCUUCGGGUUGUAAACCGCUUUCAGCAGGGGCGAAGCUUGUGGUGACGGUACCUGCAGAAGAAGCACCGGCUAACUACGUG